rnacentral:rRNA from 1 species
UACGUAGGGCGCAAGCGUUGUCCGGAAUUAUUGGGCGUAAAGAGCUCGUAGGUGGUGUGUCGCGUCUGCCGUGAAAGCCCGGGGCUUAACUCCGGGUCUGCAGCCGAUACGGGCAGACUAGAAUUCGGUAGGGGAGACUGGAAUUCCUGGUGUAGCGGUGAAAUGCGCAGAUAUCAGGAGGAACACCGGUGGCGAAGGCGGGUCUCUGGGGCCGAUAUUGACGCUGAGGAGCGAAAAGCGUGGGGAGCAAACAGG